GACGAACCGUGCGAACGUUGUUCGGAAUCACUGGGCUUAAAGGGCGCGUAGGCGGACUGCCAAGUCCGGGGUGAAAUCCUCCGGCUUAACCGGAGAAUUGCCUGGGAUACUGGCGGUCUUGAGGGAGGUAGGGGCACGCGGAACUUCCGGUGGAGCGGUGAAAUGCGUUGAUAUCGGAAGGAACGCCUGUGGCGAAAGCGGCGUGCUGGCCCCCUUCUGACGCUGAGGCGCGAAAGCCAGGGGAGCGAACGGG
rnacentral:rRNA from 1 species